rnacentral:tRNA from 1 species
CUGCCCGUAGCUCAGUCGGAUAGAGCAACGGCCUUCUAAGCCGUGGGUCAGGGGUUCGAUUCCUCUCGGGCAGGCCA